rnacentral:rRNA from 1 species
GACGAACGCUGGCGGCGUGCUUAACACAUGCAAGUCGAACGGAAAGGCCCUGCUUUUGUGGUGUGCUCGAGUGGCGAACGGGUGAGUAACACGUGAGUAACCUGCCCUUGACUUUGGGAUAACUUCAGGAAACUGGGGCUAAUACCGGAUAGGAGCUCCUGCUGCAUGGUGGGGGUUGGAAAGUUUCGGCGGUUGGGGAUGGACUCGCGGCUUAUCAGCUUGUUGGUGGGGUAGUGGCUUACCAAGGCUUUGACGGGUAGCCGGCCUGAGAGGGUGACCGGCCACAUUGGGACUGAGAUACGGCCCAGACUCCUACGGGAGGCAGCAGUGGGGAAUAUUGCACAAUGGGCGGAAGCCUGAGGCGGCAACGCCGCGUGCGGGAUGACGGCCUUCGGGUUGUAAACCGCUUUCGCCUGUGACGAAGCGUGAGUGACGGUAAUGGGUAAAGAAGCACCGGCUAACUACGUG